UUACUUCCCCGUCGUUUGUUUUAACCG
rnacentral:piRNA from 1 species